UACGUAGGGGGCAAGCGUUGUCCGGAAUUAUUGGGCGUAAAGAGCGUGUAGGCGGUCCGGUAAGUCCGCUGUGAAAGUCAGGGGCUCAACCCUCGAAUGCCGGUGGAUACUGUCGGGCUAGAGUGCGGAAGAGGCGAGUGGAAUUCCUGGUGUAGCGGUGAAAUGCGCAGAUAUCAGGAGGAACACCUAUUGCGAAGGCAGCUCGCUGGGACGUAACUGACGCUGAGACGCGAAAGCGUGGGGAGCAAACAGG
rnacentral:rRNA from 1 species